UACGAGUAGCGGAUGAACGGCGUGGGAGACGGGACGCUCUGAGCAGAGCUGCUGUGGCGCGAGCGUCGAGCUAACACACCUCAGAGAGACCGUGAACCGACAGGAAGCCCAGAUUCAGCUGUUACAGAAACAGUUCGAGGAUCAGCAGAAGGAGAACGAGAGACUGUGGAGAGCCAUUCAGAGCCUCAGAGCAGAUGCUGGACUCGUGGACGCCGGUCAGAAGCAGGGUUCUGCUCCUCAGGAGUGAGAGAUCAGUGCACCCUGUUAUCAGUGCUUACAGCGAGUGUGUUCAGUGCUCA